CCUACGGGAGGCAGCAGUGGGGAAUAUUGCACAAUGGGGGAAACCCUGAUGCAGCGACGCCGCGUGAGUGAAGAAGUAAUUCGUUAUGUAAAGCCCUAUCAGCAGGGAAGAAAAUGACGGUACCUGAGUAAGAAGCCCCGGCUAACUACGUGCCAGCAGCCGCGGUAAUACGGAGGGGGCAAGCGUUACCCGGAUUUACUGGGUGUAAAGGGAGCGUAGACGGCAGUGCAAGUCUGGAGUGAAAGGCGGGGGCUUAACCACCGGACUGCUCUGGAAACUGUACGGCUGGAGUGCAGGAGAGGUAAGUGGAAUGCCUGGUGUAGGGGUAAAAUGCGUAGAGAUUAAGAGGAACACGAGUGGCGAAGGCGACUUGCUGGACUGUAACUGACGUUGAGGCGCGAAAGCGUGGGGAGCAAACAGGAUUAGAUACCCUAGUAGUC
rnacentral:rRNA from 1 species